CUUACCCCUACUCUCUAUUUACCUUUCUAUCUAUAACUCCUUUAACUUUAUUCCCUCUUGCCAUUGUCUCUUUUCCAAACUGGUUGCUACUGGGGAAGUCACAAGGCAAAGCAUAUAUUUUGGACGGCAGUCUGACCACAUUUUUAAAUUUCUUGAACCUUCCAGUGACUCAUUUCUUUUAGAAUUUUUACUGUAGCAUAAGAAAGAAAGAAGAAAAACUUAUUAAAUAUCGAACUAUGAUGCCCAUCAAGGAUAAGUUCGAUUGGAACUGAGGCGAUUGACUUAAUUUGAGUUGAUUUUAGUGACAAUUUCUACCUUAACCAAGAAUCACCUCAUGACGUGUAUGACAGCACGUCAGUAUUCAUUGUGUAUACGGGUAAUAAAUGGAUAGAUCGUUCGUCUGGAAUAUUCAAAUGAAGAAUAAUUGAUGCAAUGUAUCUAGGACUACACUUUUCAAUGUAACAUUCCUUUUCAGACAAUAGGAUGAAAGUUCAGAGAAAAUAUGAUUGCAAUUUGUGGCCUGUCAAGUAAAUAUGUAGAGACUCAUU